rnacentral:misc_RNA from 1 species
AAUUUUCACAGAAUAAAAAGUCAUCCUUUUAUGUUCAGAAUAUUUUUAGAUUAUUGUUUCCACUUCGAUCAAAUAACAACCUAUCAAUCAGAUUGAAAUUUGUAUUACAGUAUCAGCAGAAAAAUCAGAAAUAUAUCAUCCCCAAAAACCUAAAUGAUUUCCAAAUGGCUAAGUUUAUUAAUUUUAAUUAUCAUAAAUAAUCAUCACUAGCAUCCCUGAUAAUCAAAUAUAAGCCAAAACCAAAAACAGAAAAGAACGGAA